rnacentral:rRNA from 1 species
UACGUAGGUGGCAAGCGUUGUCCGGAAUUAUUGGGCGUAAAGCGCGCGCAGGCGGUCCUUUAAGUCUGAUGUGAAAUCUCGCGGCUCAACCGCGAGCGGUCAUUGGAAACUGGGGGACUUGAGUACAGAAGAGGAGAGCGGAAUUCCACGUGUAGCGGUGAAAUGCGUAGAGAUGUGGAGGAACACCAGUGGCGAAGGCGGCUCUCUGGUCUGUAACUGACGCUGAGGCGCGAAAGCGUGGGGAGCGAAC